rnacentral:lncRNA from 1 species
GAUGCAGUAAAAUUCUAACACUCCUUUUAUUUUAUCUCGCUGCUGCUAAGCUGUUACCCUUCCAAAUUAACACUGUAUAGAUGGUGUUGACAUGCAGGUAAUACAGUGUUCUGACAGUGAUGGAGAAGGUGACUGAACAUUCAACCUGCUCUAUCUGUAAGAUGGUUAGUUGUGGGAUAGUGCAGUGGUUUGUAACUGGCCUGUCUGGGUCUUCAUGCUUUGAAUGGUAGCACUGAAGAGUGAUUUUUGUUUCCGCAACUACAACCGACAGUGAUGGCAACUGGUCUUUCAUGGAAUGUAGGACACAAGUGCUGGUCCAGAAGGCCAAGGAGGAGUGGAUGGGAGGAAGAUAGUGUCGUAUGAAAGUAUAUAAACAUCUGGAUCUUUAAGGGAAGUAGCUUUCACAUUGUUACCAUCAAUGUGUGCACUCAUUCUGUGUAUAGUUACGCUUCCAGAACCUGAUACUCACACCUGAGAGCCCAAGGAAGGUGUUUUAGAAAAGCUGCACCAGUAGUUGUGGCCUUUUCUUACCAUCAUCUUUGUUCCUCAAGUACAAGGGGGCAUGGAGGUCAUAAGGCACAGGCUGAAACAUUGUUUUGGGGGAAUCGAGAGGUGACUGUACAAGAGUCCAUGUGUACAGUAGGAGAUACUUUAUUCACCUUUUAGAUGUGCUCAUGUGUGUGUGCUGCGGUAAAAAUCAUGUGCCUGGAACUGUCCAACCUGGGCUGACACUUGAACCAUGAUUUUCUUUUCCUGCGUAGUGUACUGCUAGGUAAAACCUGACAUUUCCAGCUCUCCACAAUGUUCUCUAGAAGAACAGUGAAGGUGGUUUGAGACACUCUGGAGUGUGGACCAGCUGAUUCUGAUGAUGCUGCAUGUACAGAAUGGCAAAUACAAAAUACUGUAAGCUUUUGCUGCAAGUGAAGCUUUUUGCAAAUGUACCUUCAUCCCACUCCAUGAAUGGACAGCAAACUAUUCGUGAUACAAUUUUAGACUUACUAUGCUAGUGAGUCUUUCACAAACACUUCUGGUUUUAUAUCAAAGUAUUAUGAACACAAGGCAAGCAGUAGUGAAAGUCUGAGCAAUGAACAAUCAGUGGAGAAUUAGUGAGUGGUAGGACUGUGGUUAGGCAGUUAGGUAGAACAAAAUUAAACCUGAAUUUUUCUUCUCACCCCUUUUCCCUGGUGCUCGCAGCUUAACUGCCCUCUGUCCAUGUGAAGUGGGGCAGAGGAGGGGUGGUUGAUCGUGUUUCUAGAGGCAGCACAGGUGUGUAACACCACAAAGGUUAGUUCAGCAGCUAUAUGUGUGUGUUGUGUCACUUGACAAGAGUGCUGGAAUUCCUGCUGUAGAAAUGGGUGUGUUUGCAGAGCUACUGGCAAGGGAAGCAGGAUCUGUGUCCUUGCUUGCUUGGCACAGGCCCUGCCUCUCGAAGUGUCUAUCAGGCAUAAUGAAAUUGCUCUCAGAGGGCUUUUUUAAAACUGUUGUGGCUCUUUGAAAAGGCGUUUUGUAACCUGAUUAGCUUGAAAAGCCUAAUUAGAUGGCUUAUUGUCUAGAAAUAGCAUCUUUCACUAAAUUCCAAAAGACAUUGCAGUGAAAAUUGUAGGUUUGUAGCCAUAGUUCUGAAUGUAAACUCUCUUUAGCCCCAAAGGUGACUUUCUUUACUUUCAGAUAUAAGGCUUGCUGGGGGUUUUUUUGUGUUUUAAUUUGGAGGUGGUUAAGAUGAGGGUACCUGGAGUGCUGUGUUAGGUGACUGUAGUCUACAGUGAUGGUCUGUGGUUGGUAGUGUUCUUGUCUGUGUCAGCAGGCUCACCUGGGAAUGCGGUUUCAGUGCAAGUGCUCUGGGAUGGUGCUGCAGGUGUGUGUCUGGAGGCCUUCUGAAGCAAAGGUAGAAUACAGAAUCAAUUUCUGCACAGUUCCCUUGAUGCCCUUGGUCACUGUAAGGGCACAGACCCACCUUCUAAAGGUGUGACACUGGCAGAGGGCCCAUGAGCACCGUUAACCUCCUCACAUUUUAAUAUGGGGCCUCCUGCCACUGCUUGUGAUCAAAUUCGCUUUUUUCAUGACUAGAAAUCUACCAGUCCCAGUCUUGAAACGUCAUCCUCCUUCUAUACCUAAAAAUCUGGAGGUCUCAAAAGCACAGAAACCCACGCUUCCAAAAAUAACCUGCUGGUGCUGUUGCCAACACAACAUCUCACCUGCAGGUAUCAGUUUUCCAUGGCAGGGAAAGAAAGAAAUAGCUGUAAGAAACACUGCUGUUGCCUUGACCUUGAGGAAGCCUUUUUGACUUCUCGAAUCUAGUUGACAGUGCUAGAAAUAGCUGUGAUCCACCAAAGGAAGAGUGUUGGUGUGGCAAAAGCUGGGGUACCUCUUCCUUUUGGUGGAGGAGGCUGCCUUCCACAGAGUGCACCUCCUGGUGGUUGGUUUGGGUUUUUUUCCUCGUCAUCACAAAACCACCUCUUGCAAAGUUUAUCGUGGAUGCAGUGAUGCUGGUGGGUAGGACUGGAUGACUGGGAUCUAGCAAGGUGUACAGCUCUCUGUUCCCCUCCUCCUGCUGCUGCAAGGGUUAACAGGUUCUGUUUCCUACAUGGUGGGAUGUGUGUGAGGGGACCAUACAUGAUCAUAGAAUAGGGUUGGAAGGGACCUUCAAAGCUCAUCUAAUCCAACCCCCCUGCAGUGAGCAUGGACAUCUUCAAGUAGAUGUACACAUUGUUCCUUCACUCCUGCUAGCCAUUAGUAUUCACUGUUGUUGACCUUUAAUAAGCUUAUUUAUUGUUUACCUAGUGCGUCUAAUCAAGUCCUUUUGCUGAGUUUCAACUCGGGAUUGCCCUGCCUUGUUUCUGGCUGCUGGAGCGUAACUCCUCUGGGCAGGAACAAUAUUCCUGCCCUCAGGUGCUGUCCAGCCAGUUGAGUUGAGCACCUGUGUGUCUGCAUUGCUGCCAAAGGCUGGGAAAAACCCUAAUGAAGCUCAAGAGAUUCUGUAACAAAAUUUAAGCUUUUCCCCCAGAACCUGACACUUGAAUCCAUGGGAACAUAAUCAACCUUGCUCUGAAAGAAUCCACAGUAAGUGCAUUGUGUUAAAAAUAAUGGAGAGGAGUGAAUGUCUCAAGUACAGAAACUGACUCUGGGUGGGCAUGGAGGGAAGAAAUGCGACAAGCCAGAGGGAUCACUUGAGUCCCAUCACUCUGUAGAGGAAUUGUGUCCCAAGUUGGAUGGCGACUUCUGUUAAAAUCCAACUUUAUUAUUUAGUUGAGAUUGUAGUACCCUUUUUUUCUUCUUUUUUUUUUUUUUUUUUUUUUUUACUUUUAUCAGUUUUGUUUUUUGACAGAAAAAGGUAAUUUUGAAGCGUGUGUCGAGUGCAUGAGUGGUAUGGAACCGGAACAUUUCAUCUAGCACUUGUGUCCCUGUUUAAAACCCAGCUCUGAAGGCUCGAAACAGCUUUAGUGAGAGUCUAUUCUUAAUUACGGGGCUCCCAACCUUCAGGGCAGCUCCCAGGUACAUUUACGGCAGUCUCCCUGCUCAGGGGCCAGACCAGCCUCGCUUCCCCGGCUUGGGUGGACAGAGGGGAUCCGAAUCACACCCGAUCAGGAGAGAGUUGAGCUGGCACCGCUGCUCCUCCUGCGCUGGUGGGAUCCGGCGUCCACCCAUCGAGUGCCACCGGUGUGGGGCAGGGAGUGGGAAUAAUGUGUUGCCACUCGCUGGCCAGGGGCAGAUGGCUGUUUUCUCCUUCCACAACACUCCAGUUUCAUUCCAUAGCUGACUGAAAGCAAAAGAUUCCUUCCUGGCAUCUCCCAAAUCCCACCUUGCUGCCUCCCUGUAUUUAGUGAGUUGGAGUGCAGGUGUAGCUCUUGCCUUGGGGAAUACUGAGCUAGGGCAAAGGGAUGCUCGUGCUGAGUGGAGGUGAUCAGGAGCUGGCAAUAACACUUGUGUUGGGCUCGGCAGCAUCUUGGAGAGCUGGGAGCCAGGAUUUUUGGGAAACCAAACCAGACACAGCGGGGAUUCCUGUAGUACAGCAGAAGCUGUUUGAACUUAGUCUUUCUUAAUUAUAAUUAUUAUUUUCAGAUGUGACAUUAACAAGACCUUUUCUGUACCUUGUUUCCCCUCGCUGUGUAUAAAUCCCAGCCGCUCCUCUUUUCGGGUUGUUUUGGGUUUGGUUUUUGUUGGGGUUUUGUGUGUUUUCUUUUUUUUUUUUUUUCUUUUUUUUAUAUGUCUAUGCUGUGUAAUUUUGAGACGUUACCGAGAUUCUGAAUAUAAUAAUGUGCGUUCCUUUUGUUUGUUUUCUGUACAGAUGAAACGGGAGAAUUUAAUAAAAAGAGUCUGCAGGU